rnacentral:piRNA from 1 species
UAAAAAGAAGCACCUAGUGUGUAUGUGUA